AACGAACGCUGGCGGCAGGCUUAACACAUGCAAGUCGAACGCGUGCAGCAAUGCACGAGUGGCGCACGGGUGAGUAACGCGUGGAUAUCUGCCUUUUGGUUCGGAAUAACCCCGGGAAACUGGGGCUAAUACCGGAUGGUUCCUACGGGAUAAAGAUUUAUCGCCAAAAGAUGAGUCCGCGUCCGAUUAGCUAGUUGGUGAGGUAAUGGCUCACCAAGGCGACGAUCGGUAGCUGGUCUGAGAGGACGAUCAGCCACACUGGGACUGAGACACGGCCCAGACUCCUACGGGAGGCAGCAGUGGGGAAUAUUGGACAAUGGGGGCAACCCUGAUCCAGCCAUGCCGCGUGAGUGAUGAAGGCCUUCGGGUUGUAAAGCUCUUUUGGCGGGGACGAUGAUGACGGUACCCGCAGAAUAAGCCCCGGCUAACUUCGUGC
rnacentral:rRNA from 1 species